rnacentral:tRNA from 1 species
GGGGAUUUAGCUCAGUGGCAUAAGUGUCUGCCUGGCAAGCAUGUGAUGGAGAAUUCAAUCCCCA